AGGGACAGAGAGACUGGCCCAGCAGGGGCUCUCUGGGCCAACUGAGCAAGGUGACAGGGCCCAGGAAAGGAGCUGUUGCCUGCACAAGGGCAGAUGGAGUCAAGGAAUCAGUGUUCAUGGGAUCCUGGCUGUCCCCACAGUGUCGUGGCUGAACCUUACAAGAACAGAAGCAAGUGAAGCACAGUCUCUGUGCCCAGAAUCACUGUCUGCCAGGCUCUGGCCAACCUGUAGCCUCUCCGUGCUGAAAACGACCCGCUAAAAAAGCCAAGAGGGAAGGACCCAGCACACAGCCGUGAACCACAUAUACACGAAGAGGGCCUAAAGUGAAAAAGAUAAACUUUAAAUCAAACGGAAACUUUUUCCAGCAACUUCCACUCUUGUGAUACUGAACUGAACUGAAGCAGAAGAUUUUAAGAGUUGCCUGAAUCCUUUGGACCUGCUUAUUGGCUUAAAAAGUCUAAUUGUGAAAUUGACUUAAAAAUUCCUAAUUGUGAAAGAAGGGGUCUCUUCUUUGGCAUGGCACUCUCACUAACAAUUUUCUUGGUAAGAGGACCCAACAAACAGCAAUAGAAAUAGAAAACUAUGGAUUGCUAGGUGAGAGUAUUUUUUAACCUGCUUCAAUCUACAACUGCAAAAUGAACUGGCCCAAUUUAAUUAGAAAAAUUUCAGUUUCUGACCACUGAUCUACAUUACUGAAAGGUUACAUGUGAAAUAAAUGUGGGGUGUGUGUG
rnacentral:lncRNA from 1 species